rnacentral:rRNA from 1 species
GGAAUAUUGGACAAUGGGCGCAAGCCUGAUCCAGCCAUGCCGCGUGCAGGAUGACGGUCCUAUGGAUUGUAAACUGCUUUUGUACAGGAAGAAACACUCCCUCGUGAGGGAGCUUGACGGUACUGUAAGAAUAAGGAUCGGCUAACUCCGUGCCAGCAGCCGCGGUAAUACGGAGGAUCCAAGCGUUAUCCGGAAUCAUUGGGUUUAAAGGGUCCGUAGGCGGUUUAAUAAGUCAGUGGUGAAAGCCCAUCGCUCAACGGUGGAACGGCCAUUGAUACUGUUAAACUUGAAUUAUUAGGAAGUAACUAGAAUAUGUAGUGUAGCGGUGAAAUGCUUAGAGAUUACAUGGAAUACCAAUUGCGAAGGCAGGUUACUACUAAUGGAUUGACGCUGAUGGACGAAAGCGUGGGUAGCGAACAGGAUUAGAUACCCUGGUAGUCCACGCCGUAAACGAUGGAUACUAGCUGUUGGGAGCAAUCUCAGUGGCUAAGCGAAAGUGAUAAGUAUCCCACCUGGGGAGUACGUUCGCAAGAAUGAAACUCAAAGGAAUUGACGG